rnacentral:rRNA from 1 species
CAUUAACAUUUUAAAUGAAGUCUAGCCCCCCUGUGAAAAUGCCCUUCUUUACCUAUUAGUAAAUAAGGAGCGGAUAUCAGGCACAAUUUAUGCCCAUAACAUCUUGCCAAGCCACACCUCUACAGGAAUUCAGCAGUGAUAAACAUUGAAAAAUAAGCGUCAAUAAGCUCGAAUCAGUAAUAAUUUUAAGAGUUGGUAAAUUUCGUGCCAGCCACCGCGGUUAUACGAGAAACUCAAAUUAAUAAAAACGGCCUAAAGCGUGAUUAAAUUAUAUUAAAAUAAAUAGAAAUAAAAAUUAACUCGACUGUUAUACGUAUAUGUUAAACGGUAAACCAAAAACGAAAGAUAUUCUAACAAAUAAACUACUUGAACCCAGAUACCCUACUAUGCUCAGCCUUAAACUUUGGAACAACCCGCCUGAGUACUACGAGCCACAGCCGAAUUAGGUGGAAAGAAAUGGGCUACCUUUUUUAAACUAGAAAAUACGAAAAAUUUUUUGGAAAACUUUUUUAAGGGGGGUUUUGCCGUAAAAAGGGAAUAGGGUGUUUUUUUUAAAUAGGCCAUAGGGGGGGCACACACCGCCCGUCACCCUCCUCCGGAAAACCACUAAUUUUAAUGAGAAGGGAGGAGGAGGAC